rnacentral:rRNA from 1 species
AGAAUCAACGCUGGCGGCGUGCCUAACACAUGCAAGUCGAACGCGAAAGGGGAGCAAUCCCUGAGUAGAGUGGCAAACGGGUGAGUAACACGUGGGUGACCUGCCUUCGAGUGGGGGAUAACGUUCCGAAAGGAACGCUAAUACCGCAUGACAUCCUGCUUUUGGAGAAGCGGAGAUCAAAGCUGGGGAUUCGCAAGAACCUAGCGCUUGAAGAGGGGCCCGCGCCUGAUUAGCUAGUUGGUGGGGUAACGGCUCACCAAGGCUACGAUCAGUA